rnacentral:lncRNA from 1 species
UUAAAAUGUUAAAGUUUGGUGUUUGGAGAUUGGAAUAAGGACCACGUGGGAUCCCCACAUCCCUCAAAACCCUCCUCAUUUCCCGUUCACUGUCUUUCUCUCUCCUCCUUCACGAUUUCUCACUCUCUCUGUCUCUCUCCUUCGAACUCACACGGACCACCACCAAAACCACCCUAAAUCUAUACCAACGUCAAGUUUGAGACCACCAUUGGAAUCCUGAGGACUUCACGAUCACGUUGGUAUCCAUUUCAGGUAAGUUUUACUUCGGAAAACCUAGAUUCUAAACUCCCCAUGAAAGUGUACUGUUCAUGAGCUUUGAAUUGGUUGAUUUUUAGGACAAUCCAAGCUCAUAGUGAGCUUAGUGAGGUCCCAAGGAAGCUCGGAGUGCUUCGUUGGAAGUUUUUGGACGUAAGAACACGGAGAUCGACAAGUUCAAAGUUUGGCCGGAGCUUUCGAGGCGUUUUCCGGCGAAUCCCCGGCGAGUUAGGAGUCGAGGUAGGUAUCAAUCUCUUCGUCUCGUCAAGUACUACACUUUCCUUUUUGUUUCACUCAAUUUCGUUGAGUAUUGAAGAAGUUAUACUCAUUUGAAAAAUACCCAGUUUCCGGCGACCUCCGAGGCUUUCGAGGCAGUUUCCGGCCAAACCACGGCGAACUAGGUGUUGUGCAAGGUACCAUUCUCUUUGUCUCUUCAAGGGCUACAACUUUCGUUUUUGAAUCACUUGAUUUAGUUGAGAAAUGACAAAGUUAUGGCAAUUUGAAAAACUGUUCAGAAAACGGCCGCCGGAAAAACCAGUCCGGCGACCCAAGGAAGAAGAAGGUGCUACAGUAAAAAUAAAAAAUAAAAAUAAAAUUAUUUUAAAAAUAUGUCGACGUCCGUGACGUCGAGUAGAUCACUGUGGUAUAUUCAUAUACCUAAAUUGAACACCAUAUGAGAAAGUUAUUGAAGAUUGUUGGUUAGGUGUUCAAAUAACGUUUUAUAGUUUUCACAUUUAGGUGAAAAUGUGAAUUGAUGAUUCGACCGUUGGAUCAUCACCAAACUUUGAUACGUUAUAAUACGUAAUAUUUGAGGAUUAUUGGAACUUACAGAUUGGGAAUCCGAUUUGCGGAUCUUCCGGAAUUGGAAUUGUAAGUCCAUAAUAUAAAAUGUUAACCGUCACUUAGUUUUGGAAAUUGACAGAGAUCCGACCGUUGGAUGGUAAUGAAAUUUUAGGAUGUUGUCCUAGAGGUAUAAUGUGGACCUCUGGAAGUUAUGGAUUUAAAAUCUGAGUGGCAGAUCUUCCGGAUCGAACUACGUAGUGACGUAUUUUAUAUAAGUUAAAUAUUCUAUCGAUAUGAAUUCUGAGGUUGGAUUUGAUUACUAUUUUAGGCGGCGAUCGUCGUGACGCCUUGAUGUGUGGUGCUAGGGAGUUGUUGGAUGAACUCCAGGUGAGUGGGCAGUUUUGUUUUCCGUAUAUAUAUAUAUACUUAACGUUUUCCCAUAAAUUGAAAAUGCAUGAAAUUAUGUUUAAAAUGAAAUGCAUAUGAGUUAUGUGGAAAAAACGGGAAGUGAAAUACCAUGCAUAGAAUUGAUAUGAAAAGUAUAUAGAAAAUGUGAGUUGAAAUGCCAUGCAUGAAUUAAUAUAUGAUGCAUAUGUAUGAAUUGGUGCGGUGGACGCACAGGUAAGAAUUGAUUUAUGAUGCAUAUGUAUGAAAUGGUGCGGUGGACGCACAGAUGAGUAUUUAAUUACUGUUAUGAUGAUGAUGAUAUAUAUUGAGCUCAAAUCCUGCACCAUGGUUUAGUGCUUAUAGUAUUCACCGCAUCGCACGCUCGCCUUGGAUCCAAGUAGAUGCUAGUCGUACAGUCCACGCGGAGUGGGUACGACAGACCAGUCGCGAGAGUGUUAGUGAGAUUCCGACUGGUGGGUGACCUUAGAUUAUGUGCACAGAUGAUUUAUGAGAAGCACUAGAGCGUAACUUGUGUGCAGAAGGCCGGACGGGUCACAGAGGUGACUCCGGUAGAGUGAUAAUGAUAGAUUUUGAGCUCUAGGUUCAACCGUAUAGGGCUAUUAGAGGGCCUACGGUUGAUUACUUUCUUGCACCUGAUAUGAUUAUGUUGAUGCAUUCAUACCUUAUUACUGUUGAGAUGAUGUGGCAUGGCAUAAUUAAUAUGAAAAAUGUUGAGAUGACAUGGCAUGGCAUGAUUGAUAAAGAGAUAAUGUUGAGAUAGUAAAAAUGAAGUUUUGAGAAUAUAUAUGUAUAUUUAUAUUUUUUUACAUUUCUGGGAAAGUAUACAGGUUUUACGGAGAGGGUUACAACGUUUUGAGAAAUGUUUGGAUUUGGAAAAGAAUUGUUUACUGACCCACUCAAUUUUGGUUUUGCGCCCCUCCAGGUUCAGGAAUCACAAAGGUGUGGUGACUACGAGGAAUACAGCGGGGUUCUGACAGAUUGGACAAAAUUAGGACUCACCUUCGGGUGUAUCAACUUAUAAAUUGUAUAAUUAAAGCUUCCGUACUGUGCAAAUGGUUACGUCACUCUCACGUGACGGCCAGCAUGCCCUCCUUCGGGACAGGGUGUGUCAGUUGGUAUCAGAGCAUGGUUGCAAUCUUGGACAUCUUGAGAAGUUUAUAGUGAAUUCUGUCAGAACUACACCGCCUCGUAGCAAACCACGUAGUUAGAGGAAUUCCCUAGAUUUAGCGGUUUGGGGGAAACUAUUAUUAUGGUGAUUCAGUAUAUUAUCAAAAUGGACAUUUUAAGACGGGUUAUGAGUUGAAUUUGAAUCACCUUAUGGAAUGAUCAACCUGAGGGAGCGGAGUGACGGUUUAACCAAUUGGAAAAGAUGUUUCAGAUUAUGCAAGUCAAAGGAAAUUUCCUUCUGACAGGUGGGUCGAGACGACUACCUGGUUUUGGGUAUGAAUUUGCAUCCUGGUGGAAACAGGAAUGUUAAUUGUUGUCACCAGAGGAAUCAGCCGAUUUAAAAUUUUUUAAGGAAAAGUUUAUCCCUCCGGCAUUUAUUGAUGGUAGUAAACAAGAGUUUACAAAUAUGAGACAAGGAAGGUGAUGAUCGAGGGAUAUUAUAGAAAGUUUUCAGACUUGCCUCGUUCCAUCCAGAUAUUGUUGUUAAUUUGGUGGAGGUGUUAUGUUGUUUUAAGCUGGGUGACAAAAGGGAAGUGGUAUUUUGGGUGACCACUAUCCAUUGUAGUUCUUAUCAGGAGUAUGCUAGAUGUUGUUGAAUCUUGAGGACUCUGAGAACAUGAGCAACGAGAAUAAAGAAGAAUAAGAAAUGAAUGGGAAUUAAAAGAAGACGAUAAAGUUAAUGAUUCGUCAUAUCAAGGAUAUAGAAAGAUUUAGAGCUUCGAAAGAAGUGAAGCUAGAGUUAAUUCUUCUAGCUGAGGUUUUAAUGUCGCUGGUCAGAGUAAAAGUGAUGGAUAUACUGGUAAUCCCAGAUAUUUGAGACAAGGUGUCUCGAGUAAAGGAAAUGUACUUUGUGCAGCAGGUACAAAAUUAACACUUUGGGAAAUGUGAAAUUAAUGAAUGUGUUUAUGUGAACAGAAGGGACACAGAGUUGUGAAUCGUCCCUAGAAUCAGUUGUACUCAACAAUUUUCCAUGAAAUCAUAGUGUCGAUUCAGCAGAGUUAUGGAUUUAGUAGUUUGGUCGGAUUGACCGUGAGUACAGAGAUAUUUGAUGAGUUAUAUGUUCAGCUGUACGGACCAUGAGAAAUGGAUUUGACUGACACAUGAGAAAUUGGUGAGUUAUAGGCUCGGCCGUGCCGACCACGCGGAGUGGAUCCGGCCGACGUAUUAUUGAGAUAAGAGUUGAAUCAACCGUAUUGGUCAUUCUAGUUGACUUCGGCUGAUAUAUUUCUUAUUAUGUAUGAUAUUACCUAGAGAGUGGUAAAUAAAUGUAGUUGAGACGAGUGUAUGUAUUUUGCAUUGAGUGACAAAAUAGUAAUGUUAUAUCUUUGUGAGUGGUUGCCUACUUAUCGAGACAACGAUGAUUUAUCAGUAUUGCGGGCUGCAGACCGUAAUAUUAAUAACUCAUUCGUGGAUUCGUUAAGUAAGUAAACCGGUAGAUUAUUUUAUGUUAGUAUUGUACUUAUUCAGAAUGCUUAGUAGUAAUAGAGUAUGUAUUGUGUCGGUUAAUUAUUAUUCCAUUAGAUUGGUUGGUUAUAAUUGUGACAAGACGGAAUGUUAAGGGAAACCAGUACUUUCCAUCGAUCUGGAUGACCAGAGAUUACUUUUGUAAGUAUGCAAAGUGAAGUGAGUUCAGCCAUUAUUUAUGCUGUGAAAGCAAAUAGAUUGUUUUGAAAGGCUGUCAAAAAUACUUAGCUCAUGUGGUGCUAAAUGAUGUUGUUUGGAGUAGUGUGAAUAAUGUCGAAAGGGUUAGACUUUUCUUGAUGUCUUCUCUGAAAGUAUACCUGGAUUGUCUUCAGGCAGAGAUAUGAGGUUCAUUAUUGAUUUGUUUGCCAGGUAUAAAUUUAUGUUAAAGAUUGGUUCAUGAUGAGUUAAGGGAAUUGGAAAUUCAGUUGAGAGAAUUGGUUGAUAAAAGUUUUAUUCAACCUAGUACAACACUGUUGAGGAGCACCAGUUUGUUGGUGAGAAAGAAAAUGGACUUUAAAGACUAUUCCUUGAUUAUAGAUAAUGGAGUCGGGUAACGAUUGAGAACCGUUAUCCAUGGUGAUGUACUGAUGUUUAUUUAACCAGCUCAAAAGUAAUUGCGAAGAUUCAAAGAUUGAAUUGAGAUCUGGUUACUACCAAUUGAAUAUUAUAAGUGACGUUGAUCAUAAGAUGGUUUUCUGGAUUUGUUAUAGUUUUUAUGAAGUUUGGUGAUGCUAUAUGGAUACUCAUGCUGUUUUAUGAGUUAUUGGAUGAAGUAUUCCAAUAAUGCCUUGAUAAAUUGAUAUCAUUUCCAUUGAAGAUAUUCUGGCAUAUUCUGAGCCAGAGCAGAGUAUGUAAACGUAUUAAGUCAAUGAAGCAAAGAUUGAGAGAACGUUAGUUGUAUGCUAAGUUUAGCAAAAGCUAAAGUUAAAUGGAUCAAGUGGCAUUCUAAAAUUUGUUAUGUCUGCUUAAGGUAUUCAAGUGAAUCCUUAAAGGAUAGCAGAAAUUGAGAAUUUGGAACAACCACGAGUCGUAAUUGAGAUUUGGAAUUUCUUAGCUUACCAGGCUAUUUUGGAUGGUUGUGAAAGAAUUUUAGUCAUUACUUUGUCAUUAACGAGACUGAUGAGAAAAGAGGUUAGGUAUGAGUGGGAAGGAAUUGUAAGCAAAGGAUUCAACAACUGAAGUAUUUCCUCACUCAUGCACGUAUUUUGGUAUUCCCAGAGAAUAGUGGUAAUCAUAAAUUUUUAGUGAUGUUUCUUGAAUGGUAUUGGAGGCAUGUUGAUGCAAAUGUUAGGGUGAUUGCAUACGUUUCACGAUAAAUGGAAUCUCAUAAGAUGAAUUACCCUACUGGUGAUUUGGAAGUCACGAUUACCAUUCUUGCUGUGAAGUUAUGGAGACAUUAUAUUUUAGUAGGAAUGCAAGAUUUUUUUUUACGAAUCCAAAAAGUCUUCAAUAUCCAUUACUUGGAAGGAAUUUGAUAUGAGGCAGCGAAAGUGAAUUGUAUUGCUUAAUGAACAUGAUUGUACGAUCAGGGUGAUCGUAAAGUUUGUUCUAGCUGAAGCACUUGGUGAGAAGACUACAGUAAGAUUAAUAUCUGGCACGUUUGCCAAGAGUAUCAUUUUGUGGAUUGAAAACCAACGGAAGAAAAAUUAAGAAUGGAAGAUCGAGAAGAAGUAUACUUGUUAAGUAACAAGUUAGUACAUUUACCCCAGUGUUGAGUAACAACCUUUCCCAGACAGUGCAACACUACUUAUUUGUUUUAUGGAAAAGAGAAUUGGAUUACGGAACUGCUAAGUUUCUUAAGUAUGUUGGUUGUGCAGUUUCCGAAGUAACGCCAUAAGGACCAUGAAAUGUGUCACGUGAGUCGGUUUUUGAUGACUUGUGAAUGGAAUGUUUCUGGGUAAAGAAAGAUUCGAUCGAGAAAGAGUUUUAGUAGACCCUGAGACUAUGGAUGAGUCUCCUCAAAGUAUUCAGGUGAUUAAGUUAACCUAAAAGUAACCAGGAAUGACAAAAGACAUCAACAGAUGGAUAUGCCACUAAUCGAGUAUAUAAGGUAAAUGGUUUUAUAUUUUAGAAGUGUUCACCUUAGAAAAGUAGAAUUUGGAUUGGAAAAAGAAGGUCCUGAGAGUUAAGAUAGAGUAAAUGGUAAAAGUUUUGUGAAUGAAUCAUUCAGUGGAAGAAAAUUACGUGGGAGAAAAAGAAUCGGAUGAAAAAAAAAAACUUACCGAGGUUGGUAUAAGUGUUGAUGAAUUGGUUGGUUGCUGGAAUUUCGGGGACGAAAUUCUAUAAGGAGGGAAGAUUGUCACAGCCCGUUCCAAAUUAUUAUAUUCGUGGCUGUGAAUGGACAAAAUUGCCCUUAAGAAAUACUAAAUUUGUGAAGCUCAGGUUGCUAAUUAUCUAGGUUCCUAAGUUUGAAAAUAAAAUGGAAUUUAAUAAGGAUGGAACUUAGAUUUUUAGGUUAAAAUGUUAAAGUUUGGUGUUUGGAGAUUGGAAUAAGGACCACGUGGGAUCCCCACAUCCCUCAAAACCCUCCUCAUUUCCCGUUCACUGUCUUUCUCUCUCCUCCUUCACGAUUUCUCACUCUCUCUGUCUCUCUCCUUCGAACUCACACGGACCACCACCAAAACCACCCUAAAUCUAUACCAACGUCAAGUUUGAGACCACCAUUGGAAUCCUGAGGACUUCACGAUCACGUUGGUAUCCAUUUCAGGUAAGUUUUACUUCGGAAAACCUAGAUUCUAAACUCCCAUGAAAGUGUACUGUUCAUGAGCUUUUGAAUUGGUUGAUUUUUAGGACAAUCCAAGCUCAUAGUGAGCUUAGUGAGGUCCCAAGGAAGCUCGGAGUGCUUCGUUGGAAGUUUUUGGACGUAAGAACACGGAGAUCGACAAGUUCAAAGUUUGGCCGGAGCUUUCGAGGCGUUUUCCGGCGAAUCCCCGGCGAGUUAGGAGUCGAGGUAGGUAUCAAUCUCUUCGUCUCGUCAAGUACUACAACUUUCCUUUUUGUUUCACUCAAUUUCGUUGAGUAUUGAAGAAGUUAUACUCAUUUGAAAAAUACCCAGUUUCCGGCGACCUCCGAGGCUUUCGAGGCAGUUUCCGGCCAAACCACGGCGAACUAGGUGUUGUGCAAGGUACCAUUCUCUUUGUCUCUUCAAGGGCUACAACUUUCGUUUUUGAAUCACUUGAUUUCGUUGAGAAAUGACAAAGUUAUGGCAAUUUGAAAAACUGUUCAGAAAACGGCCGCCGGAAAAACCAGUCCGGCGACCCAAGGAAGAAGAAGGUGCUACAGU